rnacentral:rRNA from 1 species
UUGACCUCAAAUCAGGNAGGACUACCCGCUGAACUUAAGCAUAUCAAUA